AACAGAAAAGAAUAAAGAGAGAGACAGCUACGUCUCUGUUCUUGCUUCUCUCGAGCACACCAACACAGGAAGAAGGAAGAAGGAAGAAGGAAGAAUCAAAGGAUUUUUCAGCUGCCAUUUGAUUUUCCGGAUUUUGAUCUUUGAUUCUGAAGCUUGGUGUUUCUUCUUUCAUCAUCUUUCUUCUGUUUCUCCCUAUUCGUUUUGUCUUCUUAUCGCACAAUGUUAGUUGCAAAUAGUUUCGAUUUGUGGAAGAAGGAUGGGUUCUUUUCUGCAGCCGAGCAGGUUCAAGAAUCUGCUGAUACAAUGGAAUUUGCAUUUAGGACAUGGGUAAGAGAGAGAAGAGAAGGGCUAAAUCCUGAUGAUCUGGAUGAACUCCGUUGGGAGCUGCAAACGACUCUAGGGACAGCCAAAUGGCAGUUGGAAGAGUUUGAGAAGGCUGUUAGAGUUAGCUAUGGUUCCAGAAGUGAAGAACCUGUGUUGGAAAGACAUAGACAUUUUGUUGCGGCCAUUGCGUAUCGAAUUUCCCUGGUUGAAGCUGCUUUAAGAGAAUCUUAUGACAAAGAGGGCAAACAGCCUCUUCGGUGGGUAAAUCUAAAUGAGGAAGAAUGCAAUGAUUUGGCUACAUUUCUCUCUGGAACAUCCCAAGUACCACGAAAUGCGAAAACUAAAUCCUCUGUGUCCAAGUCUUCAGCAAAAAGUUAUGCAUACGAGAAUUGUGAAAGAGCAGUGGCAGAAGUUAAUCUUACUCCUACCUGCAGCCUGAGUAAUUCCUCUAAAAUGAAAGGCAACGAAUAUGUUUACUCUAUAGAUACAGACUCACAGAAACUCAAAGAUCUGGAAGUGAGAGAAAGUUUUGUAAGAGUAGACGACGCAUUAUGCAAAAUGGAUAGAACGACGAAGGCAAGGAGAGCAAGCCCACCAACUGCUCCUGAGCUGAAAAUUGUAAUCGAGGAUGAAAAGCAAGAGAUAAAACAACCUAUUUCGAGCGUAGAAGUUACCCGGAAAGGAAAAUCAGGAUCAGUCUUCUGGAAGCGAGGAUGUGGAAAUUUUUCUAAGCUCUUUGGUAGGGUUCAGUCUCAACRACAAAUAUACAGACCCUGGCAUCUGCAGCUUACAUGUUCUGUUCAAUUUACUCUUGCUUUGAUGUUGACCAUAUUCUUGAUCGUGCCCAUUGUCUUUUAUUCAGCUUGAGACUUCGAUCGAGUCCAUUGUGCAUGCAACAUUUUCUUAUUAUAACAGUUGUUGAACAGGCGUUUGAAGAAUCAUAGCAUUCAUGUUCUUCUGAGUUUCCAUGCCAUAUCCAACCUCAGAACAGGAAUAAAAGUGUUGCACGCCUAAGAGGACAUCAUGCUUCGCUUCGGGGUGAAGAGGAGCUAUUAUCGUUCAAUUCCUAACCUAAUGCAGCAUCGGGAUCGGAUUGCAAGAUGCUGUAGCAUGUUUACCAUUUUUGUCAGGUCAGGGAUGGAAUUGAUAUUGAAUGGAAGGAGCACUGUACCAAUUUAAUUUCAAAUAUUGGUUAGUCUUAAAACUCAUGGAUUAUAGCAAGAAAUAGAAGAAAAUGAAGAAAUCGUUAGAGUGCUCAUAAACUUAGAGUAAAGAGAAUAAAAACUGGGCUUUUAUUGACGUGAAGUCACAAAAAGAAAAGGAUUUUGGAGAAGUAACUUUGUCUUGGAAAAAUUUUCCUAUUCUUUUUCUAUAUUAGACCAAACUACAAGUAAACGUGUCUAUCCUAAACAUCUUCCUCUUCUCCCAAAAGGGUAAAAAGAAAAAAUCUUGACAUGGAUGAAAGAUAGAUUUGAUCGUUAUGUAGUACUUUUCUUUGGUACAAUAAAGGGAURUUAUUUACUA